AAAAUGCAAAGGUUGUCUCUAAGAGGAAGGGAAGAGAAUUUAGUCACAAACCCUGGGAAAAACUCACUCCUGAUUUUCCUUCUCUCUGAGCUAGAAGGGAGAACAGCUCCUCCAUCAACUGCUGGGAACUAAGUAGUUUUGUUGAAAAACUAAGAGGUUCUUGGGUCUGGAGGAAGACCUGGGAAGAGAUAUGUGUUUUCCUGAAGUGCUGUGGAAAUCUGGCUGUGACAAUUUGGAUAAGGAAAAUGAAGACACAACUAGCACACCACCUGCUAACACUUCAAAAGCCUGUCAUAAGAAUCAAAAAAGUGGCAAAAAUUGGAGAAUGACUGAAUAAAUUGUGGUAUAUGAUGGUGAUGGAAUACUACUGUGCAAUAAGGAACGAAAAAAUGUAUGAUUUUCAUACCAGCUGGAAAAACCUCUACGAACUGAUGCGGAGUGAAAUGAGCAGAACCAGGAGAACAUUAUACACAGAGGCCGAAACAUUAUGGGAUGAUCAUAUGUAAUUGACUUUGCUACUGAUAGCAACGCAAUGAUCCAGGACCUUGAUGGCAAACCUAUGAUGUACAUGUCAGUGCUGGCAUUUUCGAUGACAUGCAGCCACAUGCAGGCUCAGAGCACCUCAGGGCCCAGGAGUUGCCUGGGGAGCUGUGCGCCCAAGCUAUGGGCAGGCUGGGCCUGGCCAGUAGAAGAGUGCAAAUGAGGAGUGCCUGGAACUGAUUACCAGACACUUCUAGCACCCUGAAAAAUAUAGCAAUGGCUUUAUUCACAAUUUUCCCUUUGUGUACUUUUGUGAGAACUUAUUCUCGGCAUUAAAUAAUAUCUAAACCAACAAAAGAAACAGAAUGACAGAUGAAGUUAGUAGUGCUUGCUUGGACUUGAAGUGUAUAAAACACCAAACUUCAAUUGAAGAUUUAGCCAAUGAAAUUCAGCAACAAAAAAGUCACUAAUAGGCAGGUUAAAGAAUGCCCCCUCCCCCUCACUUAUCUUAGUUCAUAGCACCCCACACAAGUUAAAUAAUAUCAAGACCAACAAAAGAAACCGAUUGACAGAUGAACAAAGAAGUCACUAAGCAAGUAAGUUAAAUAAUUAGUUUUUGGUUUAUUAAAUACAGCUAUUUAUUAUAAUUAUUCAUUUUGGUUAUUUAAAUUAUAAAUAUCACAAAAUUAGAGGGUUUUUUUUUUCUCAAAGUGACACCACCUGAGUUAUGCUCAGUUUUUUGGCGAAUUUUGGCACACCAAGCUCAAAAAGUUGCCCCAUCACUCAUCCACGACAAUCUUGAGGGACUUAUGAGAAAGAACUGUGGGAUUAGAAACAUAGAAGGCAACCAUUUGAUUUUUCACUUGUUUAUAUGGGUAUUGGAUGUGUGGUUUUGGUUAUUUAAAAAAAAUAUUAUUAUAACAAUGAAUAAUAUGGAAAUAAGCACUUAUAAUACAUGUAUAACCCAGUGGAACUGCUUGUCAGCUCUGGGAGGAAAAGAACAUGCAUGAAUCAUGUAACCAUGGAAAAAUACUUAAAUAAAAAAAUCAAAAUAUUAAAUAAAGUUUCUUAUCUAUCAUGGCACAUUGUCAGCCCCAUAGUGGUCAUACAAUCCAUCAAAACUCCCAGAUCUUUUCCAGGUAAAAUGCUACUCUAGCUCUGUGUAUCUGCAUAAAUAAAAAUUUUUCAGUUUAUUUAUCUGUAUAAAGUUUAUCCCAGUAGAAUUGGCUCAAUGUUCUAUCCCAGAAAUGAGCAAAUUUUUUUUCUGUGAAGGACCAGAGAGUACAUAUUUUAGGCUUUGUGGGCCAAGAGGUAAAAAUCAAGGACAUUAUAUUGGUACAAUCACAGUUCUGCUAUAACGUGUUUCAAAAAGACAGAGUUUCAAUGUGAUUUAUAUAUAAGCAUAACCUGAAUUUCAAGUUUGUUUUGGAUCUAUUUCUUACUCAAGAAACAGUUUGAAGAAAAAUUCACAACUUACAAAGUUGGAUAGUAGAUUAUGUGACAUUUUUGAGUUAUAUUAAGUACAUUGCUGAAGUCACAUAUACAACCACUCAACUUUUUAAUGCAAACGUAACCAUAGACAAAAAGUUAAAUAAAUGAAUAAAAUUUUUAUUUCUGGAAACCAAAACUUGAGUUUCAUAUAUUUUUCACCUCACUGACCCCCCCCCAACACUCAAUUUUAAGAAAUUAUAGAUGAAAACUUCCCAGAUCUAUGAGGACCAGACAGCAAAGUAAAGAUGAAAAUAAUAAACCAAUUACCUCCUGAAAUAUCAUAGUAAAAAACCAGGGAAACUUAGAAAGGAAAAAUUUAUUGGAGAAAAUGAAAAAUGUAGGAUAAUUUACUGCUAACAUUUCUUACAGGGGAAGAAAUGUGGUCCUUCUGUAACAUGAUAGGUUCAAACAAAUCUAUUUAUUCAGCCCUAACCUUUUGAUCUCUACUCUUAAAAUGCUCAAUUGCCUAUUGAACAUCUCAAACUGCAUGUCUGGUAGACUUCUUAAAUACAGCAUGUCCAAAACUGAACUCAGACUCCUUUCCCCCAAACUCUUCUGUCUUCCUAAUUUCCCUCUUUUCAGGGCACUGCCAUCUUCCCAUUAACCCAGGCUCAUAUCACAGAUCUCAUCUUUGACUCUCACCCUUUAUGUUCAAUCUGUUACUGAGUCCUAUCAAAAUUCUACUUUUGCAACAUCUCUCAUGUAUAAAACCCUACUUUUUCUGCUCUACUGUCCCAUCUUCAUAUAGACUGGUCUUACCACCUCAUAUCUGAGCUACUGCAAUAGCCUGCUGGCAGUUUGCUUGCUUCAAGUUUCACCCCCGUUCCAUCAUCCACUCAGCUAUCAAAGUGAUCUUCCUUAAAAAGUGAAGGUCUAUUCAUAUCAUCAUUAAACUCUGGUAGCCCCCUCCACCCAUUACCUUUGGAAUAAAAAAUAAAGUCAUCUGUUAGGCUUUUUAUAAUCUGGUCUCUUAUUUUGUUUCUUCUUAAACCUCAUUCAUGUCCUUUCACAUACUCUAUGUUCCAGUGACACUGACCUUGCUGUUAUUCCUAGCAGUCACUUCCAUCUGCCAACUCCAUGCAUUUUCACUGGCUGACCCUUCUCAUGCCUGUAAUUCACUCCCUCAUCUCUGAGGUAUUCCAGUAACUCUUGUCAUUCAAAAGUCAACAAGUGCCAAAGCCAAAAUUAAAUUUUGAUUCUGCAUAUACCCAAAUGGCAGGAACUCCCCUAUAGUUUAUAGUAAGGGUUAUAUUUAUUUUCCACCUGGAGAAGAUAUGGUCCAGCUGGUAGUAUACACUAAGAAGAAAAUUAUUACUUUACUCCAAGUUUCAAAGAAUUAUUAAAAUCAAAUCAACUCACUAAAACUCAGUUACAAAAAAAUAUUUAUUUGAAUUACAGCACUUUUUUUCUGGCAUGCACUAUUUCAAAUUAAAAAUCCCAAACUGGGAUUUUUUUUACUUACUACUUACUAUUACUUUUAAAUAACAUUUUACUUUUGUCUUUUGUUUUUACUAUCAAAAAUUUCCCCAACAUCCUUUCCCCUCCCAGAAUCACUCAAUAUGAAAAAUAAUGUUAUUAGAGAAAAAGACAACCAAACAUCAAUAUAUUGAAAAAAAUCUAUUGCCAAAUAGGGUGGGAAUGUCUUCUCCUAUCUCCCUAGCUUUGUUACAUUUUCUUUUGAUCUUUUUUUUUAAGAAUGGUUUAUGGUUUUUCUUUCCAAUUACCUUGUUGUAAAUAAAUGUAUGUUGUUUUCUUGGCUCUGCUUGCCUAGCUUUGCAUUAAAAUCCAUUAUGUUUUUCCAUAUUUCUUCAAUUUAGUUAUCAUAUUUGGCAUUUCUUACAAAUAGAAAUUUUCUAAUUACAUUCCUGAACCAUAAUUCCUUUAGCUAUUUCCCAAUCAAAGGGCAUCUGCUUUGUUUCCAGUUGUUUGCUGACACAAAAAGCACUUAACUACUAUGUGCAAAACAUUUUACUACCUGCCUAGAAUACAAAGAUAAAAACAGAUCCUAGGAUGAUCUGAUAUGUAAACAAUAAAAUAUAUACCUAAUUACCUGAGAAAGGAGCAAGCAUUAACAGUUACACGUGGUGGCACAAUAAGUAUUGAAGUAAGCAACCUAAAUAUUAUACCGAUAUCCCUUCCACAUCAGGUAGCUUAGGAGUGAGGUGCCCCCAUGAUCUGAAAAUCUGUGUAUAAUUUUUUGGUCCACCCUUCAUACUAGAGUAGUGGUCUCAAUUUUUUCCCCUUUACUUUUAUGGAGUGUUUCCAGUACCUUAUUAUAAAAUUUGUGUUAAAUAUUGGUCAUAGGCUAUAAAGUUUCUACCCCUUUUCUAUGUUGUCUGCUCUAAGCAUAGCUUCAGUAAAAUUUCUCCAAAAUUUCCAUUUAAUUUCUUAUCUUGACCCACAAUAUUUCAAAACCAAGAUAGGGAAAGUCGUAAUGGCAUAGGGAUACCUAUACUCUAAUCCUCUAAAAUCAAAGAUAUUAGCUUUUAAAUCCUUUCACAAUUUGGUCCCAAUUAUUUUUCUACCCUAUUUUAAAUUUCUCCCUUUCCUAUACUCUACCACCAUUCAAACUACCAUUCCUCUUAUAGAAAGUAUUUCUAUUCCACUGAAUGCCUGGUAUGCACUCUUCACUGACAACUCUAAGAAUUCCCUCUUUCCUUCAACAUUCUACUAAAGCAGUAACUUUUACAUGAAGCCCUUUCUAUUCCCCUAGCUGCUGUGGGCCCUUACCCUGUGAAAUUAUCAUAUCUGCUGUAUUUGAAGGGAGGUUAAUUUGUAUUAGAGAAAGAGAAAAGAGUUGAAAAGAGUGGAAAACAUCCCUUCUCAAAGCAUGGUUCAAGGGAGGCAGCUGAUGUUUAGGGUUGGCUUGGAGAGAGGAGAGGGGGUUUGAAGAUUUCCCCCCUUCUGCCUUCCCUCCUUAGCUAAGGCUGCUCUCCCAGAUUCCCUCUUGUUCCCCCACAUACACUCGAGACCAAAGGGUCUCCCCUUGAUCUGUUCACUCACACUUGUUCACAGCUUGAGGAACUAUUAAUGCCAACUCAAUCAGGCAAUACAAAAGAAUAAUGGGCAGGGAAAUAAUGAGAAAGGAUAGUGGGAAAAGGGGGUCCCAGUCUCUAUCUAAACCCUUUCCCCUCCCUUCUCGAGUUUUGGGGAACUCAGGCCUUGGCAGCCUGAGCCCCCGAGAGAAAGUCAGGUUGACUCACCUUUGGGCAACAGGAGCUGAGGUAAAGUCCCUUCAAUUGAGAAAUGUGGGGGGAAAUAUUUCCAGUCUCAAGAAGGAAAAAGUAGGUAACCCUCAGGAGAAAGUCUUAAUCCACCUUCUCUCUUCAGCCUCUCCCAACUGAGAGACCAACUCCUCUACCAGCCAGUCUCCUCCUCCUCAAGAUUCCAACCCUUCCCCGUAGAGGUGAUCAAUUUCACACACUCUUCAGUCUGGCACUUUUCUUAUGUGCCAGCCUAUGUCAUACUGCCCCCCACCCCAAUAGAAGGCAAAUUUCUUGAGGGCAGGGAUUAUUUUGUUUUUGUUUCUAUAGUCCCAGAACUUACACAAUUCCUUUGUACAAAGGAGAAGUUUAAUAAAUAUUUUGAUUGAAUAGCUGUAAAAAAGAUUUCAAGGGAAGAUUUAAAGCUAUAUUAUGACUCUUUAAAUAUCAAGCUGAAAAAAUUUGUAUUUUAUACUGGAUGCAAUAGGAAACAACUAAAGAUACGUGUGGAAGGGAAAAAAUGGUCAGAUGUAUUCCAUUAAUGAUCCUCUAGCUACAUGUUGCUGAACCUCAGGCUGCUCCCUUCCCCUUCUCUAUGCAUGCCUGAUGACAUUUCUCACAUCAUCCACCACCACCCCCAAGGUGUGUGUGUGGGGGGGGGUGGUCACAUGAGGCAUAAGGGUUGCAAUUUGGGCUCUCAAGUCUUUAAAAGGUUUGCCAUCACUGCCCUAGCCGCUACUACGUACACAUAGACAUAUGCAUUUAUAUAGGUACCUAUAUAGAAUGUAAUAAACUUAAGAAACCAGAAACCCGAAGGCCAAUUAGGAAGGAGGCUGCUACGAUAGUACUGAUGAUGAAAGUUGGGUGAAAGGAAAGGGAAUAGAUAAGAAACACUUUAAUAGGAGAAUCUAUAAAAACUAACCUCUGAUUGGAAACCUAGGCAACUAGAUGUGCAAGAUGUUAAUACCUAUAAGAAAAACAGUCAAGUAUGGAAAAAGGGUACUGUUAUUCUGUUUUAGGCAUUAUGUGCUUAAUAAGCAUCUAAGACAACUGGUUGGUUGGUAGAUAGCCUGGUUCAGUGGGAGAAGUACUGGUUUUGGAGUUAGAAAGCCUAGGUUUGAAUUCUGCCUGAUAUUCCCUUGAAUGCCCUUGGGCAAGUCACCUGGAUCUCAUUUUCCUCAUCUGUAAAAUUACAGUGAGAUGUGUUGGCUUCUGAGAUCCUUUCCAGCUCUAGAUCCUAUGUAGGAUUGGACUUUUGAAACUCAGGAUGGACUUAGAAGUAUCCUGACUUCUUUCAAAAUGUAGUUAUUUAUCAAGUUAGUUAACAUAAAGGAUUCACAUUUGAUCAAAUGACUUAUGCUCUUCCUAGAGUUUGUUUCAAUCCCCUCCAAAGAUUUCCAUUUGGGGAAAGAGUACCACCAGCAUUAAAGUCUAAUUAGUCCUAACAGUGUAGUAAAGGAUUUAAUCAGGGAAAGCUGAAUGCAAAAGAUGCUACAAACUAACAUUCCACACAGAGCUCUCCAGAAACUGGGACUAAACACAGAGACUGGCAGUUGGUGGACUCUGGAUGAGAGAGAGAAGCUGCUUUGGCUCUAGCUGUCAAGAUACCCAGAGGGUAACUGUUUGGUAUUUCUGGGGUGGACCCUGAAAAGCCACUGGUUCUUUCUUUUUGGCUGUCCUGAUAUUCUGCUUGGAUUUACUGCUGCCGAUACAGAUACAGAGAAGUGGAUUCUGCUGUUGCUAGUGACAUCCUACUGGGAUCUGCUGUUUGGAUCAAAGAAAGGACCCCUGUGUUGUGAGAUUUCUUUGGGCCCCCUUAGACCUUGCCUCUACCAAUCCUUCCUUAACUUGAAUUAAUUAGUUUAGUAUAAUUAUAAGUAUAGGAUUUUAAUAUCUGGGGUGUGUUAGAAGUUAUUCCCUGAUUCCCUUCCAUUCCUUUCUCCCUUUAGAUAAAUAAACUUUUAUUUUAUAUUUAUAGCUAGUUUGAACCCUUCUUUAACCCACCCAUAUAAUAGUCUUUCUAUCCAAUCAAUUCUCCAACUGCAAAACUGAUACUAAUUCUUUAAAACAAAAUAAAACAAAACAAUAACAACAAAAACAUCCAACCCUAAAUUUCUCUGUACUACCUCUAUGAUAAAAUACAAAUUUUUCGACCUAACAUUUAAGGCAUACCAUAAAGUUGGCUCCCACCUAGCCUUUCCAAAUGUAUUUAAUGUUACCUUUACCUACAAACUGUUCUAAGCAAAUUGGUCUGUAAGCUGUUCCUUAUAUAUAAUAUUUCCAUUAUGCUGAUUCAUGACUCUGAAUUUAAUAUCUGGAACAAGAUCUCAUCUCUUCCUUAUAUAAAGCUAGAUAAGAUAGGAUUAGAUAAUCAGACAGACAGAGAGAUAGAGAAUAGAGAGACAGAUAGAUAGAUAGAUAGAUAGAUAGAUAGAUAGAUAGAUAGAUAGAUAGAUAGAUAGAUAGAUAUCCCUUACUGGAAUAACUUGUGGACUAUGCAAACAUCCUUGGGAUUUGAUGAGAUAUUGGAACGGGAAACUAAGCAAUUUGGAGGAAGAUCUAUAUGGAUACUGGAACUCUCUAGCACAAGACCAUGAAUUGUGGAAGAGAGGAAGAUCUAGUUUGAUUAAUUGCCUAAUGGAGGAGAAUGGAUUAGAAGCUAGUACCAUAUAGCACAUAACAGGAACCAUGAUUCAAAAAGAUAAUGAGUGAAUUUCAAAGGACACAUUGCUAAGAGAUGGAGGCAAAGAGCAAAAGGAAUCAGAACACAGCAAUACAAAAAGCAAGUGUUUCCAUAAAUCCUUCAGGCCCAAUGUAUUGGGGGAUGGGGAAGGUAGAAUAGAAUAGGAAAAAAUCAAAGUACAGCCUAAGUGAAAGAGGAUGGCCUGAAGUGCUAUGGGGUCACAGACCUCAGUGAGGACAAGUAGAUGGAAGGAAUGGGAGAAAAAUGUGGGGAAAUUUGAUCACUACAGAAUGGAACUCCAGAGAACAUAGUGGAAGAUAUAAACAAAGUUUGUGAGACGAGUAAGGUAGCACUGAUUGAGAGAAAGGUAGACAGAGGCUAAGAAUAAUUUGUUACUAGUUGAUUAAGUAAUAUCCAGAAAAUAAGAGUAUUAAUUGCUGGGAAUUUGUUAGCCAAUACAGGUAGAAGAGGAUAACAACAAUGCUCACAGUCAGGAAGGAAUGUUUGUCAUCAAGGUUGAAGGGCCUUUGUCAAUCCCAUCUGCUCCUCUAAGUGUGGUGGGGAAAUACAAGAGAGAAAGUGGAAAAAAGGCGGCUGCAGCUAGGUCUUCUGAUGGCAGAGGACACUGAACAGGGUCUGGGGUCUGUAUUGUCCCUGUCCUGCUCUUCUACUAAGGAUAGGGGAAUCACCGAGGAAGAAGCUUUGUUCUGGGACAGUAAUAGAUUCUAACAAGGUGGGUGAGGGGUUGGAUAAGACCUCUGAGAGACUGUAGUGACAAAAUGAAUAAGCUUAGGGCAGUGAUGGUGAACCUAUGAAACACAUGCAAAAAAGGACACAAAGAACCUUUUGUGGGUAUGCCUGUAAUUGCCCACCAGAGUUCCUUACUAGAAAGUCAGAUGGACUGAAGUCGGAGAUGUUCCCCGUUCCCUCUCCAUGGGUCUGAAGACAUUCCUCACUUCACCCACUCCUCUGCCUGUAGCCCAAUGGGAGUGCUUCCUCCCUACCCAGUCUAGGGUAAGGUGCUGGGGGGGAGGGGAGCAACUCAUAUGCUGCAUGAGGUUAAGUUCCAGACAGCUGUGUGCUGAGUCUAUGGUGAAGGUGAUUCCUGUAAUGAGGCUGGUGAGGAGCUAGGUUUGAGGGGAGUAUAGCUCACAAUGUGGCACAUAGCUGGAAUGGAGCAGAGAGUUUGGGCCACUCUCCUUCCCCUCUCCACACACACCUCUCAUCACCCACUCCCCUCCCCAGCAGCCCCAUGGGAGCACUUCCUCCCUCCCCAAUCUGGGGUGAAAUGGAGGUGGGGGAACGGACUUGGGAAGCUUUGGAGGGGGGUGGGGCCUGGCACUGUAUCUCUAAAAGGUUCACCAUCAUUGGCUUAGAAUGUAGACCAGGAGUAAAAUCACUGUCCUAUAUCCUCUCCAAGCUCUAAAGCCCCUUUACUGGAGGGAACUUGUAGUUGGAGGGAACAAAAUGGACUAAGUAGAGCAGAAUUAAUAGUAGUUAACAGCUUUUAUAUAUAAAGUUUGCAAAGAAUUUACAUGUCUCAUCUCAUUUGAUUCAUAUAACAAUAUCAUGAGUUUAAUAUUAUUAAUAUUCCCAUUUUACAGAUGAGGGAACUGAUGCUGGGAAAUUUUAAGUGACUAGCCCAGGGUCACAAAGCUAACAAGUGUCUGAGGCAGAAUUAGCACUCAGGUUUUGGAAUCCUGACUCUAAGGAUACUGAUUCAUUGACUGACCACUUCUAUUUAUCUGAUAACCAGUCCGAAAUCUUUUCAAAUUAGAACUAUUUGAGUUUCGAUUGGUUAAAGCCACACAUUAAAAUUCAUUGGAAGGAAAAAUUGAAUUUGAUCUUAAGGGAGCAUCUGAGCUAAAACCACAGAGAACAAGAAAAUGCACUUCUUGAUGUAUAGGACGGGUUGACAAAGAGACAGAGAGGUAAUUUAGUAUUUUGAUUUAAAUAUUUUUGUGAUAAUUCAGACUUUUCACAGGUAAAGUCCAUAAAUUGCAUUUACUGUUCCUUCUAAAAAAUAAUAUUUAUAAAAAUAUUCCCUACAAUUACCCAAAGAUAAUUGUACAUUAAAUUCCCAUUGGGUCCUAAGAAUAACUUAUUCUUUAAAGUGAAAUAAUUAAGUUAGUUUUGUGAGCAUAGUUCACAAAAACUGUUAAUAUAUAUUUUCUAGUGAACUAUUAAGUUAAUUCUCUCUCAUAAAAUAAUCUGGAUAUCACUUCUCAGUUCCAAUAUCCAUUAAUAUAACGGCUGCAUGCCACAAAAUCCCAAGUUAAAAAAAUAAGCUUCUAUUUGCUACUUAUCACAAGGUCAGGAAUGAUAUGAUAAGUUAAUAUUUUACAGGCCAACAAAAUGCAUGCUAUUGCAAAUUACUCAAUAGAAUAUAAAAAUUUUUUCAUCAUUUUUAUUCUAGUUUCUACACAUUUAUAAAGCUAUCUAUUUGCAUAAUCUCUAGUUAAGCAUAUAUUAAAAAGCAUGAAAUGAUAAUAAGGCAAUGAAAACUACUCAAAUACUUUUCUAAAAUUGAAUGGCUUUAUGUUCUUUCUGAACUAGCUUUAAACAUUUAUCACUAUAUCUCUGAACUAUGAAAAGUGAGGAGAAAAAGACAAGAGAAAGACAAUAAUUAAUCAUAAAAUGAAACUGUCACUUCCUUCAAACAAAUAAUAUUCCAGUACAGCUAGAAAACAAUAAUGAAAUUGUAUUCAAGUAGUUUUAAGGUUACACACCAGGAGAAGGGAGGAGACUGCUAAUCUAUGAAAAUAAUUCAGUCCUUCAUAGUAACUAUAUCUUACACAGAAAGGGUAUCUCUAGUUAAUUGUUUUUAUUUCAUUUCCCUUGAAAAAUAUAAAUUAAAAUGAGUGAAGUCUUAUAUAAAAUAAAUUUUGAAAUUUCUUUUUCUCUUUACCAUAAAUAAUACAGAUCCUUUUUCUAGUUUAAAAUCUUUUCAAAAAUCCUUUUUACGAUAAAACUAAGAAUCUAGUCACUAAUUCAUCUACUCUAUAAUUUUAAAGGAAGGCAAGUACUCAACUACUAAAAAAAUCAGGAGCAUAGAUAUUCUAUUGCCACUUUUAAUGAAAUGUUUCUACAACUUUUAAAACAAUAUUAAAAACUGAAACAAAAACAGAGCAACGAUUCUUCAAGAAUAAGUACUAACUUUGCCCAUGAGUCACAUUUUUUUCUCAAAAUGGACCUAGAAUAGAAAUCAUUUUCACUAAAACUUAUUAUAUCCAAAAUGAUAUCUUAUAAUCUUAAAAAAGAAUAAAAUAAUUACUCAACCGUACAACAGUAAAGCAAGAAAAAUAUUUCAUUUUAAACAUAAAAAUGGGAGAAACUACAAUUACUUUUCAAAACCUUAUAUACAUUUUUUGGAAUAUACCCACAUUUGCUUUUAAGAUACUGAAGCAAAAGUGCCAUAAAUAAAAUAGAUCAUGUUUUAACUUAAUAGCCUUACAUUUUUUAUGACACUUGCAAAGAUAACUGCUUCCCCAUUAAGAUUCUGGUUUUCACUUCUAAGUCCAACAAAUAUUUUUUUUAUUUCCCUUCUUUCUAGGUAUCUUUUUGCUGCCUUUAAGUUAAUCAACUUAUAAAAUGGGCUUCUGUAGCUUCUCCCCCCUGUACAUGCCUUAAGCAUCUGAGUAAAACUCUUCCCUCUUUCCCUCCCUCCUACCAUUUCAAUUAUUCCAAACAUUUUUCAGUAUACAAAAUCCAGCCCAAAUUUCUGACUGUAUAUAUGACCAAUUUUGCAUAGAAAGCAAUAAAACAAGCAAUCUGCAUCUCAAAAUGUCUCCAUAAUGUUACAGAAUAUCUGGAGAUCAUCUAUAUCCAACAAGAAUUCCAAAAACUGGUGAACAUCAAGGCUUUGUUUCUAGUAUCCACUUUAACCCUUUUCAUCUUUUGGACAGCUCUGAUGUGACCCCAGGCAAGUCAUUUAACCCUGUUUGCUUCAGUUCUUCAUUUGUAAAACAAGCUGGAGUAGGAAAUAGCAAAUCAUUCCAAUGCCUUUGCCAAGAAAAUCCCAAAUAGGGUUAACAAAGAGUCAUACACAAGUGAAAAAAAAUGAACAACAAAAUUGUUGGGGAGUUUUUUCUUAGGAAUUUCUUCCACCAAAGCAGAUCAAUACCUUUAAGUCUUGGAAAGAUGCCUGGGGAACUGACAAGUAAAGGGACUUGCCUAGACUUUGUCAAAUAGGUAAUACAUAUAUAUCAAAUGAGGUUUAAAUUUAGAUAUUCAUAACUUGUCAGUUCUUCAUCCACUAUAUCGUGAUGCCACUCAGCUAGUUAAUAUCCUUUUUAGAUGUAAAGGUGAGAAUAUAGAGUAGGCACAAAUCCCACUGCAAUUUCUCAGUAAAGAAGAGGGGAGAAAGGGUGAGGGUGAGGAUGGGGUAGAAAAGACUCAGACAUCAAAAACUGCCAGAAUUCUGCAGAGAUCUUAAUAGAUGGAAGUCAGGAUAGGUAGAAGGCUGACAAGUAUAAAGCUUGCCUACUUGCAUAGGUACAGCAGUCCCACAGGCAGAGCAAUCAUACAGGUUGAGCUCUUCUGGAGCUACAAUGGAAAUCAGAAACCAAUUCCAGAGCCAGAAGUAUAGGAACCCUACAACAACUGAAGAAAUGCCCAGGGUGCAAAGUAGGGCAAAAUCUUUAAAUUUUUUUUUAAAUUUAGAAUAUUUUCCCAUGGUUAUAUGAUUCAUGAUCCCACCCCCCCCCCCGACCUCCACCACUCUCUGCACCCCCCAAUCCAACAAACAGUUCCACUGGGCUAAUACAUAUAUCAUUGUUCAAAACCUAUUUCCAUGUUAUUCGUUAUCUGCAGUGGUGUGAUCCUUUAACAUCAAAGCCUCUAUCAUAUAUCCCUAUCACAUUAUGUGAUCGAUCACAUAUUUUUCUAAUGCAUUUCCAUUUCCACAAUUCUUUCUCUGGAUGUGGAAGGCAUUCUUUCUCACAAGUUCCUCUGAACUGUCCUGGGUCAUUACAUUGCUGCUAAUAGGAAAGUCCAUUACAUUCAAUUGUGCCAUAAUGUAUCAGUCUCUGUGUACAAUGUUCUCCUGAUUCUGCUCUUUUUGCUCUGCAUCAAUUCCUAGAAGUCAUUCCAGUUCACAUAUUAUUCCUUUUAGCACAACAGUAUUCCACCACCAACAGAUACCACAAUUUGUUCAGCCAUUUCCCAAUCGAUGGGCACUCCCUCAUUUUCCAAUUUUUUGCUGCCACAAUGAGCAUGGCUAUAAAUACUUCUGUACAUUUUUUCUUAUUAUCUCUUUGGGGUACAAACCUAGCAGUGGUAUGGCUGGGCAAAUGGUAGGCAUUCUUUUAAAAUCCUUUGCACAUAGUUCCAAAUUGUCAUCCAGAAUGGCUGGACCAAUUCACAACUCCCCCAACAGUGUAUUAAUGUCCCAAUUUUGCCACAUUCCCUCCAAUAUUUAUCACUUUCUUUUGCUGCCAUAUUGGCCAGUCUGCUAGGGGCAAGGUGGUACCUCAGAGUUGUUUUAAUUUGCAUUUCUCUAAUCAGGAGGCAUUUAGAACACUUUUUCAUGUGCUUAUUGAUAGUUUUGAUUUCAUCAUGUGAAAACUGUGGGACAAAGCCUUAAAUAUCACACUCAAGACCAAGCAGCAACUGUCCAUACCAUGUACAAGUAAGAGAAAACAGAGUUUGACUCAAGUACAAGCUCCAAACCUAGGCAAUAAGAUGAAUAAUACAAGCAAAUCAAAGAAAAUGCUCAAAACAAUGAAGAAAAACCUUGGACUAAUAAAUUUAAAAAGUAGUAAAUCCCAAAGAAGUUCAAGUACAGAGAAAAAACAUACUGGUCACAAGGAGAACAAGAGUAGCUGGAAGAAAUUAAACCAAGACAGUUCUAAAGUAAGAAACUACCAAAGAAUGAAUGCCCAAAGAAAUUAAUGUCAAACAAAAAACAAUAACUUAAUGAAACAAAAAUAUAAUAAAACCAAAUCAAAAGACUGGGAAUAAAAUGUCAAGUAAUAAAUUAUCAAAAAUCAUUGACCUAACCCCCUCACACCUAUCACAUUGGCCAAUAUGACAAUAAAGUGAUAAAUGUUGGAAGGGAUGGGGCAAAAGUGGGACACUAAUGCAUCACAGGUGGAGUUGUGAAUUGAUCUAACCAUUCUGGAGGGCAUUUUGGAGCUAUGCCCAAAGGUCUAUAAAACUGUACACACCCUUUGAUCCUGUAAUACCACCACUUGGUCUGUAACCCAAAGAGAUAAUAAAAAAGGGGAAAGGGCCUAUUUGAAUAAAAAUAUUUAUAGCAACUGUUUUUGUAGUGGCAAAGAACUGGAAAUUGAGGAAUCAUCUGGAGAAUGGUUGAACAAAUUGUGGUACAUAUUGAUGGAAUACUAUUGUGCUAUAAAAAAUAAGCAAGAUGAUUUCAGAAAAAGCUGGAAAGAUCUUCAGGAACUAAUGCAGAGUGAAACAAUAGAACCAGAAAAAAAAACUGUACACAGUUAACAGUAAUAUUGUAUCAUGAUUAUCUGUGAAAACGUGGCUACUCUCACAGCAAUGCAAUGAUCAGAGACAAUUCUGAAGGACUUAUGGUAAAGAAUGCUAUCCACCUCCAGAGAAAGAACUGUUGGAGUCAGAUGUGGAUCAAAGCAUAUUAUCUUUCAAAUCAGAGUAUUUAUGGUUUUAUUUUGGAGUUUUUGUUUGGUAUGUGUGCUCUUACAACAAGAACCAAUAUGGAAGUGUUUUGCAUGAUAAUGAAAUAUAAAUUUUUUAAGAAUCAUUGAUCUAAAAAUAUAAGUUAAGGAGAGUUAAUCUAAGAAUUGUAUAAGACUACUUGAAAAUCAUAAGAAAAAAGUUUGAAUACUGUAAGGGGGAAAAUAGGUUAAUUUUUAAAGGACUGGACUGGAUUAUUUAAGAGUUUGGUCACCAGGAAUUUAAUUAAUUCCAAAGAGAUUUUAUUUACAAUUUAUUUACAAAAUGUAGAAAGAGUGAAACAAGAAAUCAAAGAGAGGAUAAGGUAAGAUAAGCCUAAGCACUAAGUAAUUUAUCUCCAGCCCCUGGCUGAAAAACCAGGCAGGGGAGUUUAGUCCUCAAUUGGAUAGGCCUCUGCCCUUGUAGCCCAGGACCUGGGGAAGUCUCUUUAGAAAAAUCCAGCAGUUUAGAGCCAGCUUUUCACUCACUAUGUCAGUCUAACAGCAGAUCCUUCUGCCCCUCUUCACCAGUCUCAACUCAAAAGCAUGAAGAAUUGCACUCCACCAGAAGUGAAGUUGAACUGCGCUUCCAGAAAUCCCAGUUCCAAGUCAAACUCUACUUUUAAAGAUAUUUUCUCUUGUGUCACUUCCCCUAAUUCCACGUCUACCAAUUAUAGCUGACACUCUGCUCUAGGACUGCCCAGAAGGUAGUCUAUUCUGAUUUGUUGCCCACUAUAGCACACAUGGGUCACAGACCUCCCACUUCAUGUUUACGGGGUAUAUUUGCACUUUUGGUGAUUAGAUCUAAACAGGCAGAUUACUUAACUUUUAAGUACUGUGUUUGCACUUUUUGUGAUUGAAUCUAAAAAUAGGCAGGUCUCCAUAUUUAACUUUUAAGUAGGGUGUUUACACUUAUGGGAAUUAAAAUCUAAAAAUAGACAUGUGUUACAAUUUAAAUCUUCACUAUCAGGGAAGAGCUAAGUACCUUCAUGUUACAAUCAAGGGAGAGCCAAAUCGAAUCUUCACAAUACCAUAUUUCAAAAUUAUAAAUGAGAACUUUCCAGAUCUAGAAUUUACUAGUCACCCCCUGAAAUAAAACUCCAAAAUGAAAAUUCUCAGGAAUGUCAUAGCAAAAAUCCAAAGCCUAGAAGCUCUGUGACCCUGGGCAAGUCUCUAAUUCAUUCACCUUGGUUUCUUCAUCUACAAAAAUGGGGAAAAUAAUAGCAGUUAUCUCCCUGAGUUAUAUCAAAAAUGAAAAUAUUGCUUAGCACAGUGUCUGGCAUGUAGUGGGUGCAAUGUAAAUGUUAACUAUUAUUAUUAUUACUACUACUACUAUUAUUGUUGGUAUUUUGUUAUUAUUUUAAAAUACUGAAAGCAGCAAAAAAAAAAGAAUUUAAGUACACAUCACAGUCAAGAUCCCACAAAAUCUGGCAGUUGUCACUUAAAAGGAGAGGUAAACUGGGAAUAUUCUAAAAAAUGGGAGGGAGAUGCCAAAAAUUAGCCUACCCAAAAUAACUAAGCAAAAUUCUACAAAGAGAAAAUCGUUAAUGUAAGAGAAUUUAUAAACAUCCAAUUUUUUAAAAAUUUAACUAAGUGGACACUGAAAUUGAAACAAAAAGAGAAAUAUUGAAAGGCACACACUUGUUGAACUGGAAAAGACUAUGUAGAGACAGACUGGUUACAUACAGGGAAAUGAAUAGACCUGGGGUGGCUUUGUUCAAAAUGUGUAGAUGGUCUUAAGACAGAAAGGAGAGGACUAGGGAAUUAUAGUGGGAAGGAAAGGAAGUGAUACCCAAAAGUAACACUAUCUUACAUAAUGCAGAUUCAUAAGACAAAUAGUAUUCAAACAUCAAGAAAAUAAUGGACUAAAUGAGUAUCCAUUAAAUCUCACUUUCCUCUGUACUGGACAAAGAGAAAUGUAACAUAAUUACAUUCACACACAAGCAAACAAACAUCACUAUGAGCUACAUAAAACUCAACAGGCCAACAAGAAGAAGAAGGGGGGAUUCAAUAAGGAAACAGAUACAAGCAAAAUGUGUUCCUAUAUUAGAAGUGGGAAUGAGAAGAGAAUACACAUAUUGAAGUUGAAGACCAAUCUGGAAGAAAAACAAACAAGUAACAAUGACAAUCUGUAUACAAGUAAUGCAUACUGAUGUCAAAUGCAAAUUAAAAUAACUGUGAAACCCUACUUUGAUCAAAACCAUCCCAUUAGGAAAAUUGGCAAAAACAUAAAAUGACAAAUGCUGGAAGCACAUUCAUAUACUGUUAGUAGAGCUGUGAUUUUAUCCAUCCACUGUAGAAAGCAACCUGAAAUUAGCACCAAAAUUUCACUAAACUGUGUCAUAGUCUUUAACUCAGUAAUAUCACUACUAAGUAUAUAUCCUAAAGAGAAACAAACAAAAACGGGGGUGGGAGGGAAGAAUGUCAAUGCCCAAAAGUAUUUUUGCAAAUCCCUCUGUUAUAGUAGUAGUAGUAAUUGUCUUUUUAUAGUUGAGUCAUCUCUGUUAUAGUCAUAAUAGUAGAAAUAAUAAUAAUAACUAACAUUUAUAUAGUACUUGCUAUGUGCCAGGGCACUGUACUAAGUACUUUAAAAUGUCAUAUCAUUUGAUCCUCACAAUAACACUGGGAAUUUGGUGCUAUUAUUAUCUCCAUUGUAUAGCUGAAGGAACUGAGCAAAAUGACUUGGCCAGUCACACAAUUAAUAAGUCAUAUCUGACUCCAGGCCCAGCACUCUAUCAAUUAAAUCACCUAGCUAAAAAAACAAACAAAAAACCCCAAGAAAUUAAGAGGAAGAAGACUUUGGACUAAAUGAUCUCUAAGGUCCCAUUUCAAUCUAAAUUCAAUAUCUCAUUAUCCUCUAGACCAGUGAUGGCUAACCUUGGAGAGACCUUAGAGACCAAGUGCCCAAAUUGCAACCUCACACCUUAUGAGAGUCCCCUGAGAGGGAGGAAAUAUUCUCAUUGGGCUGCUGGGCAGAGGGGCAUGUGUGGCAAGGGGAAAGGGAGCAGCCCCUUCCAGUAUGCUCCAGCACACAUGCCAUAAAUUUACCAAUACAAUCCUAGUCCUUUCCCUGCAUUGCUCUUAAUUUGUACCUCUCAUUUGUUUUAUCAUAACUGCUUUAAUUUAUAGUAAUUUAUGGGUAACUCAUCCUUCCUACCCAUAUGUAUAAUUUAAACUAAAUAAUAAAUUUCUUAAGGCAGAACCACAUUUUAAUAAUCUUGGUAUUUCCUCUAGCAUCUAGUAUAAUAUGAACAUACAUAUAAGACACUUCUUAACUUUACUAAUCUAAAGCAUUUAUGAAUCAAGAAAAAUCAGUCUUGGUUCUCCCAUUACCCAAAGGUUUGGCUAUUUCAGUAGUUUAUCUAUAAAAUGACUUUUGGACUAGGUAAUCUUUAAGAUCCAAGAUGACUAUAAAAGUUUAUGAAUCUUAUCAGAUGUCUUUCUUCAUCUGACUUCUUGCUAAGUUCAGCUCUUUACCCUCUAAAGGAAGAGUUCUAAUGAAUAUUUGUAUCCAUGCAAGUUUCAAUGGAAACUAUAUAUGCCCUGGUCUAUUUUUAGUCUAUUUUAAAUUUAUUUUAACAUAUAGAGAAUAAUAUUCACUUACAAAAGAGAUUAUGAUUACUCUAUAAGUAGAGAACGAGAGGGAAAGGUGGAAGGGGGGAUUUAUUAAGGCCCUACUAUAUAUGUUAGGCAACAUGCUCAGCACUUUACAAAUAUUAACUCAUUUCAUCCUCACAACUCUUGGAAGUAGAUGCUUUAUUUUCAUCUUACAUUAAGGAAACGGAGGCAGAGAGAGGUUGAAUGAUUUGCCUGGAACCACACAUCUAUUAAUUAUCUUAGACUGGAUUUGGUCUUAAGUCUUCCUGACUCCAAACCCAGUGCUCCACCCACCACAUUGGCUACCCAAUGUAUCUAGGAAUAGAAAAGGAAAAAGUCAGGUUAAGAGGUUAAAAGAUCAAAUAGUAGGCCUAUACAUAGCUCAAGGUAAGAAAAUCCAGAGCCACAUUCUCUCCUUUUGCUUCUCCAAACAGAUUAAGAAAAUAUACUAAAUUGAAUGAACCCUGAAAGGGAAAUUCAAGGGAUUGGUGGCUGGGGAGUGCAAGGAAUCAAAGUGAGUCUUGACAUUCAGGUCAGCAUAAGAAUACAUAUAGAGGGGUCUGUGAAGGUAUAGCCAAAAAUAGUCUGAUGAAGCAAGCUAUCACAGGGAAAGGCUAUAAACAUCAAGACAAAAAGAAAUCUCAAAUCCAAGCAGAGAAGAGCGUAAAUUUUGUGUAGGGCACAGCAAUAUAUAUAAUAAGCUAUGAUGCUCAGUACUUAAUUACACAUCAUAGAUUCUGAACAGAAUGAAGAAAAGAUCUGUAGAGAUGGUUGGAUUUUGGAAUGAGAAGUGUCAAGUCCUAGGCAAGAAAUACAGUAAAGAUCAAAUCCAGAAGUAAGCAGUAGUAGAUGGUUGGCUCAAAUUGCUGAAGAAAAAUGAGAUUUCACUCAAUAUCCAGAUUCCAGCCCAGUAUCAAACCUGCAAAGAUAUAACAGGGUAGGAAUCCUAGGCCAAAGGGGACCUACAGUCCUUUCACCAUAAAGAAACAAAGCUUUCUGAAUAACAAGAAUGAAUGAGUCCAUCAGCAAUUCAUAAGCAAUCCCAGGUCAGGAACUUGCAGAGGUCAAACUAGAAAGAUAGAAAUCAGAUUUUGCCCUAAACUAGACCUCAUUGAAAGCACUGAAAUCUUGAAAUUCUCCAGCCUGAGCUAGACCUAGAGAUUCUGAAAUAAAACAAUAUGCAAUACUUGAAUAAAACACCAACAAGACCAGCCUAGACAUUUCCUCCAGAAAUAUAGAUCAAGUCCUAAUAAAAAUCUGCAAGUAGACUGGGAAGAGACUAGGUAUGAUUAUAGGAACACUUAAGACAUAAAUCCAAAUGAAAAUGACUCCAAAACAACUACAAGCAAAAGCCUCAGAAAAACAAAACUGAGGCAUGUUAACUAGAAUUACUUAAAGAGAUGAAGAUUUUAAUAGUUGAAAACUUUUUUAUAAAUGAAAGUAAAAUUGAAAUAUGAUUCUACAGAGAGGAAAAAAUGAACUUGUAUUGAAAUAAAGGUUUCCUAAGCAUUCCUGAUGAAAUAGAGCUGCAUAUUAACCGUAUAAAUACUUUAGUCUAGAAAAAUGUAAACAUAAACAAUCACAAGGGACUAUAAAUAAGUAUAAACCGUUAAUAUUCUAAAUUUGAGGUGCCUACCCUCAAAACCUUAUCAUUAUCAGUGAUCACAGAGAGAAUCUAAUUAGGAAGAGAGUCUGGGAGCAGUUCUGUUAUAUCUUAAGAUCUUAAAAAAAAUUAAAAGGUAGGGGAAGAGGAAUACUCUGAGGAAAAAGGAAAGCCUAAAGGACAGAUGAAGAAAAUUAUUUUACAUUAUCACAAUCAGAAUAUGCAAGUAGAAAUCUAUACUAAAAGGAAGAGGAUUAGAGGAGGAGCUAAUACUUGAACAUCACUGUCAACUGAACUGGUCAAAGGAAAAUGCAUAUAUAUAUAUAUAUAUAU